AACGAACGCUGCGGCGCGUCUUUAAGCAUGCAAGUCGUACGGCAAGAGAGAGCUUGCUUCUCUCCUAGAGUGGCGGACUGGUGAGGAACACGUGGGUAAUCUUACCCUUAAGUGGGGAUAGCUGCUUAGAAAUAGCAGAUAAUACCGAAUACACUCGGUCUUUCAUAAGAGAGAUUGAGGAAAGAGGCUACGGCCUCGCUUGAGGAUGAGCUUGCGUCCCAUUAGCUAGUUGGUGAGGUAAAGGCUCACCAAGGCAACGAUGGGUAUCCGGCCUGAGAGGGUGAUCGGACACAUUGGGACUGAGAUACGGCCCAAACUCCUACGGGAGGCAGCAGCUAAGAAUAUUCCGCAAUGGACGAAAGUCUGACGGAGCGACGCCGCGUGGAUGAAGAAGGCUGAAAAGUUGUAAAAUCCUUUUGUUGAUGAAGAAUAAGGAUAAGAGGGAUGCUUAUCUGAUGACGGUAAUC
rnacentral:rRNA from 1 species